UACGAAGGUUGCAAGCGUUACUCGGAAUUACUAGGCGUAAAGGGCAGGUAGGUGGUUUUGUAAGUCUAUUGUGAAAGCUCCUGGCUUAACUGGGAGAGGUCAAUGGAUACUGCAGAACUUGAGUAUAGGAGAGGUUACUGGAAUUCCCGGUGUAGCGGUGAAAUGCGCAGAGAUCGGGAGGAACACCAAUGGCGAAAGCAGGUAACUGGACUAUUACUGACACUCAGCUGCGAAAGCUAGGGGAGCAAACAGG
rnacentral:rRNA from 1 species